rnacentral:rRNA from 1 species
AUUGAACGCUGGCGGCAUGCCUUACACAUGCAAGUCGAACGGCAGCACGGGUGCUUGCACCUGGUGGCGAGUGGCGAACGGGUGAGUAAUACAUCGGAACGUACCUUAUCGUGGGGGAUAACGCAGCGAAAGCUGUGCUAAUACCGCAUACGCCCUGAGGGGGAAAGCGGGGGAUCGAAAGACCACGCGCGAUUAGAGCGGCCGAUGCCUGAUUAGCUUGUUGGUGGGGGAAAAGCCCACCAAGGCGACGAUCAGUAGCUGGUCUGAGAGGACAAUCAGCCACACUGGGACUGAGACACGGCCCAGACUCCUACGGGAGGCAGCAGUGGGGAAUUUUGGACAAUGGGGGCAACCCUGAUCCAGCAAUGCCGCGUGAGUGAAGAAGGCCUUCGGGUUGUAAAGCUCUUUUGUCAGGGAAGAAACACCGGCUCUAACACAGUCCGGGAAUGACGGUACCUGAAGAAUAAGCACCGGCUAACUACGUGCCAGCAGCCGCCGCCG